CUGUCAGUGCUGCUGCUGAUGCCUGCUGACGUUACCAUGAAGGCUGCUGCCACCCAAAGCUUUUCAUCACUCUAAAUGUAGUCUGUUCCACAGAAACUGGACAGAAUGAUAGCACUGGGCUCCACUCAGGAACACAUCUCCUAAGAUAUUGACGAGCAAGCUGUGCCGCAGUGGGGUGAGGGUUGGAAGAGGGAAGGCUCCAGAGCCCGGGCUUCAUUCUCUCACGCGAAGAAACAACAGGGAGAGGACACUCUUGGAAACUCUCCAGCUCCCUCACUCUUCUCUAAGAAAGAGAGUUGCUUUAUCUCGUUGACAAAUUUGGAAGCAAAUACUGGGCAUGAGCAGCUCAGCUCCUGCCCAUACAGGACUCAAGCUCUGGUGUAUUCUCCACAUGCCAAAGCUCAAUGGCACACUCUGUCCCUGCAGCGGGAGCCUAUGGCAUUGCCUGUGAUUGGGGGUGAGGUUAUCUAUUCUGAGAUUCAAGAUGGAAGCCUCCAUUGCCCCUCCUAAGCCAUGCUUUCCAGCACUGUAAUAAAACUGGAUUUUUUUCCCUC
rnacentral:lncRNA from 10 species